AAGAAGUGCAGUUUUAGCACUGUUCAUGUUCAACGUUUUGACCGUUUGUCUUAUUUAAAAAAAGAUUAUGAUUAGUAUUUUUAUUGUUAUUAGAUGAUAAAACAUGAAUAGUAAUUUAUGUGUGACUAAUUUUUUUUAAUAUUUUUUAUAAAUUUUUCAAAUAAAACAGAUGGUCAAAGCACUAAACACGGAUAUCUAUGGCUGUACUUAUU
rfam:Oryza nivara chromosome 3, whole genome shotgun sequence.